GGAGUAGGUUCAGUACGUAGGCGCCAUGUAUGGUGAAUCGUGCAUGCUACUGGCACGGGCCGGUAGUAUCUAUGAAAAUUUCUACCUCC
rfam:Glossina fuscipes fuscipes unplaced genomic scaffold Scaffold428, whole genome shotgun sequence.